UACGAAGGGGGCUAGCGUUGCUCGGAAUCACUGGGCGUAAAAGCGCACGUAGGCGGAUCUUUAAGUCAGGGGUGAAAUCCUGGAGCUCAACUCCAGAACUGCCUUUGAUACUGGGGAUCUUGAGUACGGGAGAGGUGAGUGGAACUGCGAGUGUAGAGGUGAAAUUCGUAGAUAUUCGCAAGAACACCAGUGGCGAAGGCGGCUCACUGGCCCGUUACUGACGCUGAGGCACGAAAGCGUGGGGAGCAAACAGG
rnacentral:rRNA from 1 species